UACGGAGGGUGCAAGCGUUAUCCGGAUUCACUGGGUUUAAAGGGUGCGUAGGUGGGUUGGUAAGUCAGUGGUGAAAUCUCUCAGCUUAACUGAGAAACUGCCAUUGAUACUGCAGGGCUUGAGUACAGAUGAUGUUGGCGGAAUAUGACAUGUAGCGGUGAAAUGCAUAGAUAUGUCAUAGAACACCGAUUGCGAAGGCAGCUGACAAAACUGUAACUGACGCUGAGGCACGAAAGUGUGGGGAUCAAACAGG
rnacentral:rRNA from 1 species